AUUGAACGCUGGCGGCAGGCUUAACACAUGCAAGUCGAACGAGGGGCGGACGGGUGAGUAAUGCUUGGGCAUCUAGCUUAUGGAGGGGGAUAACUACGGGAAACUGUAGCUAAUACCGCGUACCAUAGGAUGAGCCAAAGUGGGAUUAGGUAGUUGGUGAGGUAAAGGCUCACCAAGCCGACGAUCUAUAGCUGGUCUGAGAGGAUGAACAGCCAACCUGGGACUGAGACACGGUCCAGACUCCUACGGGAGGCAGCAGUGGGGAAUAUUGCGCAAUGGGGGCAACCUGACGCAGCCAUGCCGCGUGAAUGAAGAAGGCCUUCGGCUUGUAAAGUUCUUUCGGUAGGGAGGCGGUAACUACAGAAGAAGCACCGGCUAACUCCGUGCCAGCAGCCGCGGUAAUUC
rnacentral:rRNA from 1 species